GCCUAAACCCUUGAAAAUCCUUCAUGCUUUCAACAGGAAGGAGCACAGAACUGAUAAUUGUGCUAUUGAUACCUCAGGAUGUAAUAACUAGCCUGAGAAGAAGUGUUUGUCAUGCUUCAUUUUCCAGAAACAGGCAUAUAUCCUACAAGAGCGAGGGUGUUUGUCAUGCUUCGUUUUCCAGAGACAGGCAUAUAUCUUACAAGAGGGAGCAACAUUUGAAGUGAAUAAACCUAAGAAGA
rnacentral:misc_RNA from 1 species